rnacentral:lncRNA from 1 species
UCCCCUUUUUUUUUAAUGUGUGAAAACUGAAACACCUAUGGUUGGAUUUGAGAUCCUGAGGCCAGUUUCUAGCCUGGACAACUACGAGAUAUACCCACUUAUCGUACGGUCAGGAUCCAACGGUCGGCGGCAGAGAAGAUGCCACCUUAAGCUCCCUCACAUUAUAGGCACGCUUACUAGUUAACCUGUGGAUCAACUAACAUGAAAUUGUUUCAAUUUAAUUAAAAGUCUCAAGUUCAUGUUUUAGAUGUGCUACCUUAAAUACUCAAAAUAGGAGUUUUGUCAUCUAUUAUGAUCCUAUCAAGUUGGAACAAUAUUUCGUUCAAUGAAAAAUACAUGUAGUGUAGAAAAGAAAAGAAAAACAUUAUAGGCACGCUUCAAUUAUAGAAUAAUAACAUAAUAUAAUGGGUGCAAUUUGAGACCAACUAUUUUAUGAUGUAGAAAUUUUAGGUGCAUGUGAUUCACCCUCAGCAGGCUAUGUAUGCUAUGUUGUUCUGUUGAUGAUUUGUCUUGAGCAAACCAAGUCCUUGUGAUCCUCAACAAUUAUAUUAAUUUUUAAAAUAGUGCUAUUAAUACCUGUAUUUGUUUAUCUGUUCUCCUUUCCUUACUCCGAAUUUAAUAUAUCUGCAUUGCUGGACCUGUCUCAGGCAUC